GAUGAACGCUAGCUACAGGCUUAACACAUGCAAGUCGAGGGGUAACGAGAGGAAAGCUUGCUUUCCUUGUCGACGACCGGCGCACGGGUGAGUAACGCGUAUCCAACCUGCCCCCAACUAGGGAAUAACCUUGCGAAAGUAAGACUAAUACCCUAUAAUUUCCUCAGAUGACAUCUGACGAGGAAUAAAGAUUUAUCGGUUGUGGAUGGGGAUGCGUCUGAUUAGCUUGUUGGCGGGGUAACGGCCCACCAAGGCAACGAUCAGUAGGGGUUCUGAGAGGAAGGUCCCCCACAUUGGAACUGAGACACGGUCCAAACUCCUACGGGAGGCAGCAGUGAGGAAUAUUGGUCAAUGGGCGGAAGCCUGAACCAGCCAAGUAGCGUGCAGGAUGACGGCCCUAUGGGUUGUAAACUGCUUUUAUACAGGAAUAAAGUUAGCCACGUGUGGUUAUUUGUAGGUACUGUAUGAAUAAGGACCGGCUAAUUCCGUGCCAGCCGCCGCGGUAA
rnacentral:rRNA from 1 species